rnacentral:rRNA from 1 species
CCUACGGGUGGCAGCAGUGGGGAAUAUUGCACCAUGGGGGAAACCCUGAUGCAGCGACGCCGCGUGCGUGCAGCAGUAAUUCGUUAUGUACAGCUCUAUCAGCAGGGAAGAAAAUGACGGUACCUGAGUAAGAAGCCCCGUCUCACUACGUGCCAGCAGCCGCGGUCAUACGUAGGGGGCAAGCGUUAUCCGGAUUUACUGGGUGUAAAGGGAGCGUAGACGGCAGUGCAAGUCUGGCGUGAAAGGCGGGGGCUCAACCCCCGGACUGCUCUGGAAACUGUAAGGCUGGAGUGCAGGAGAGGUAAGUGGAAUUCCUAGUGUAGCGGUGAAAUGCGGAGAGAUUAGGAGGAACACCAGUGGCGAAGGCGGCUUACUGGACUGUAACUGACGUUGAGGCUCGAAAGCGUGGGGAGCAAACAGGAUUAGAUACCCUGGUAGUC